rnacentral:rRNA from 1 species
AGUUGAGCGAAGCUUUUUGGUAGUUUACUACUAGAAAUGACUGAGCGGCGAACGGGUGAGUAACGCGUGAGCAAUCUACCUUAGUUACUGGGAUAGCCCGAGGAAACUCGGAUUAAUACCGGAUAUUCUUAUUUUUUCACAUGAAGUUUUAAGGAAAGGUCAGCCGAACUAAGAUGAGCUCGCGUUCUAUCAGCUAGUUGGUGGGGUAAAAGCCUACCAAGGCUACGACGGAUAGCUGGUCUGAGAGGACGAUCAGCCACACUGGGACUGAGACACGGCCCAGACUCCUACGGGAGGCUGCAGCAGGGAAUAUUGUGCAAUGAGCGAAAGCUUGACACAGCGACACCGCGUGUGGGAUGACGGUUCUAGGAUUGUAAACCACUUUCAGGAGGGAAGAAAAUGACGGUACCUCCACAAGAAGACCCGGCCAACUAUGUGCCAGCAGCCGCGGGUAAAUACAUAGGGGGUCAAGCGUUGUCCGGAUUUAUUGGGCGUAAAGAGCUCGUAGGCGG